AGAGAGCAUUAAAAACUACUAAGAAGGUGGGUGAAAAUAUGAAAGGUUUAGGAUGGAUCUUUUUCACAGGGUUGUAGAUAGUUGUCAACUACAAGAUCUGGGUUUUAAGGGUUACCAAUAUACAUGGAGUCAGGGUCGUGGGGGUGUUCAUAACAUUCAGGAGAGAUUGGGCAGGUUUGUAGCUACAAAAGAGUGGAUUGACGGGUUUAUUAAUUAUAAAGUGUUGCAUUUAACCCGUUAAGGCUCGGAUCAUUAUCCAAUUAACCUACUUGGGAAAGUGGGCAGGGUAAAAAGAGUAAGAAGAGGUGCCCAUUCAGGUUUUAAAAAAUGUAGUUAGGGGAUGAGUCAUGUAGGGACACUGUAGAUGUUGCAUGGAACUCUAAUGGUUUAGGCGACUCUUUAUGGAUAGGAUUGGGAAUAAAUUGAGGAGUUUUGGUAAGUCCCUGAAGUGUUGAAAGAAAACACAUUUUAGUCAUAUAAAUUCAAAAAUGGCUCUUCUUAAAAAAAGAUUGCAUUGGUUGCGGGGAGAGGCGCAAAUGGAAGAUUGCGUUAUUUAGCAAAGGUUGGCAGAUGGUAAAAUAAAGGAGCUAUGGGCAACGAAAGAAAUGUAGGCUCAACGGUCCUAAGCUUUAUGGCUUAAAGAAGGGGACUACAAUACUUCUUUCUUUUAUCAGAAGGCAAAUCAGAGAAUGAGAAGGAAUGCAGUUUAUUUGAUGAUGAGAAGGAUAUUCUAGUAGUUAUGACUAGAUAUUUUAGUGAUCUCUUUUCCUCUUUAAGUCCAUCUGACUUUCAUAAUGUUCUGGACACUGUGGAGAUGAAAGUUUUAGAAGAAAUGAAUGCACAUUUUACAGAGCAUUUCACUCUUUUUGAGAUUAAAAUAACUCUCAAUCAUAUGCAUCCGUCAAAGGCCCAUGAUCCUGAUGGUAUGCCCCCUCUUUUUUUUAUCAGUCUUUUUGGGAUAUAGUUGUUCCUGUUGUUGAACAAAAUGGUCUAUAUAUCUUCAAAAAUUAUUAGUCUCCCGCUCUUUUAAAUCACAUUUUUAUUACUCUGAUCACUAAACUUAAUAAGCCAGAAUACCCUAAGGAUUUUGGGCCCAUUAGCCUGUGAAAUGUUAUUUUCAAAAAAAUUACUAUGGAGGGUUUUAAUAUGGAACUGGUUGAGUAGAUUAUGAGAUGCAUGAGUUCAAUUUCUUAUUCACUCGUAAUUAAUGGGGAACGUAAAGAAGUCUUCUAUCCUAAACUGGACUUCGAUAGGGAGACAGGUUAUCACCUUAUCUUUUCUUGUUAUGCACUGAGGUUUUUUCAGGUGUCCUUCAGAAGGCAAAGUUGGAUAAGAAAUUGCAUGGGGUUAAUAUUUAUAGCGCAAAAACAGCCUGUUACUCAUUUUUUCUUCAUUGAUGACAACAUUGUUUUGGGCAGAGCUAUUGCUUUUGAGGCUAUUAGGCUGAUGGGUGUUAUUUGGAGCUAUGAGAUUGUGUCCGUGUAGAAAAUAAAUAUUGAUAAAUAUGAAAUUUCUUUUGGUAGAAA
rnacentral:misc_RNA from 1 species